GCCGCCGUAGCUCAACCUGGCAGAGCACCGCACUUGUAAUGCGGGGGUUGGGGGUUCGACUCCCCCCGGCGGCUCCA
rnacentral:tRNA from 1 species